AUUGAACGCUGGCGGCAGGCCUAUCACAUGCAAGUCGAACGAGUGGCGGACGGGUGAGUAAUGGCUGGGAAACUGCCUUCAGGCGGGGGAUAACUACUGGAAACGGUAGCUAAUACUGCAUACCAUAGGAUGUGCCCAGCUGGGAUUAGCUAGUAGGUGGGGUAAAGGCUCACCUAGUCGACGAUCCCUAGCUGGUCUGAGAGGAUGACCAGCCACACUGGAACGGAGACACGGUCCAGACUCCUACGGGAGGCAGCAGUGGGGAAUAUUGCACAAUGGGCGCAAGCCUGAUGCAGCCAUGCCGCGUGUAUGAAGAAGGCCUUCGGGUUGUAAAGUACUUUCAGCGGGGAGGCGUUACCCGCAGAAGAAGCACCGGCUAACUCCGUGCCAGCCGCCGCGGUAAUUC
rnacentral:rRNA from 1 species